GUCCCUGUAGCUUAAUUUUAUUAAAGCUCGGCCUUGAAGUUGCCGCGAUGGAUUUUUUCUUUUCCCAGGCACA